rnacentral:rRNA from 1 species
AUCUGGCUCAGAUUGAACGCUGGCGGCAGGCCUAACACAUGCAAGUCGAACGGUAACAGGAAGAAGCUUGCUUCUUUGCUGACGAGUGGCGGACGGGUGAGUAAUGUCUGGGAAACUGCCUGAUGGAGGGGGAUAACUACUGGAAACGGUAGCUAAUACCGCAUAACGUCGCAAGACCAAAGAGGGGGGACCUUCGGCCGUCUUCGUCCACUCGGAUGUGCCCACGAUGGGAGUUAGCUAGUAGGUGGGGUAACGGG